CCGGAAGACCAAGGUUUCCUGUCCCAUGCUAAUCAGGGCAGGGUGAGUCGGCCCCUAAGGCGAGGCAGAAAUGCGUAGUCGAUGGGAAACAGGUUAAUAUUCCUGUACUUAUGUAUAUUGCGAUGGAGAGACGGAGAAGGCUAGGCUAGCACGGCGAUGGUUGUCCGUGUUUAAGGUGGUAGGUUGAGAGCUUAGGUAAAUCCGGGCCCUCUUAAGACCGAGAACUGAUGACGAGUCCUCUUUUGGACGAAGUAGUUGAUGCCAUGCUUCCAGGAAAAACUUCUAAGCUUCAGAUAUACAUGAACCGUACCCCAAACCGACACAGGUGGUCAGGUAGAGAAUACCAAGGCGCUUGAGAGAACUCGGGUGAAGGAACUAGGCAAAAUGGCACCGUAACUUCGGGAGAAGGUGCGCCGGUUAGUGUGAAGGAUUUACUCCGUAAGCAUUGAUCGGUCGAAGAUACCAGGUGGCUGCGACUGUUUAUUAAAAACACAGCACUCUGCAAACACGAAAGUGGACGUAUAGGGUGUGACGCCUGCCCGGUGCUGGAAGGUUAAUUGAUGGGGUUAGCGUAAGCGAAGCUCUUGAUCGAAGCCCCAGUAAACGGCGGCCGUAACUAUAACGGUCCUAAGGUAGCGAAAUUCCUUGUCGGGUAAGUUCCGACCUGCACGAAUGGCGUAACGAUGGCCACACUGUCUCCACCCGAGACUCAGUGAAAUUGAAAUCGCAGUGAAGAUGCUGUGUAUCCGCGGCUAGACGGAAAGACCCCGUGAACCUUUACUAUAGCUUCACAGUGAACUUUGAACCUACUUGUGUAGGAUAGGUGGGAGGCUUUGAAACUAGGACGCCAGUUCUAGUGGAGCCAAACUUGAAAUACCACCCUGGUAUGUUUGAGGUUCUAACUCAGGUCCCUUAUCGGGAUCGAGGACACUGUGUGGUGGGUAGUUUGACUGGGGCGGUCUCCUCCCAAAGAGUAACGGAGGAGCACGAAGGUGUGCUCAGCAUGGUCGGAAAUCAUGCGUAGAGUGUAAAGGCAAAAGCGCGCUUAACUGCGAGACAGACACGUCGAGCAGGUACGAAAGUAGGUCUUAGUGAUCCGGUGGUUCUGUAUGGAAGGGCCAUCGCUCAACGGAUAAAAGGUACUCCGGGGAUAACAGGCUGAUACCGCCCAAGAGUUCACAUCGACGGCGGUGUUUGGCACCUCGAUGUCGGCUCAUCACAUCCUGGGGCUGAAGCCGGUCCCAAGGGUAUGGCUGUUCGCCAUUUAAAGUGGUACGCGAGCUGGGUUUAGAACGUCGUGAGACAGUUCGGUCCCUAUCUGCCGUGGACGUUUGAGAUUUGAGAGGAGCUGCUCCUAGUACGAGAGGACCGGAGUGGACGAACCUCUGGUGUUCCGGUUGUCACGCCAGUGGCAUUGCCGGGUAGCUAUGUUCGGACGGGAUAACCGCUGAAAGCAUCUAAGCGGGAAGCCUCCCUCAAGAUGAGAUCUCACUGGGACAUAAGUCCCCUAAAGAGCCGUUGAAGACUACGACGUUGAUAGGUUGGGUGUGUAAGUGCUGUGAGGCAUUGAGCUAACCAAUACUAAUUGCUCGUGAGGCUUGACCAU
rnacentral:rRNA from 1 species